CGUGGGCAACCUGCCUGUAAGACUGGGAUAACUCCGGGAAACCGGGGCUAAUACCGGAUAAUUCAUUCCCUCACAUGAGGGAAUGCUGAAAGACGGUUUCGGCUGUCCCUUUCCGAAGGGCCCCCGGCGCAAUUACUUAUUGGGGAAGGAACGGGUCCCCCAGGGCCCCAAGCCUAACCCAACUGGAAGGGUGAUCGGCCACCCUGGGAAUGAAAACCCGCCCCAAAUCCCACCGGAGGGCACCAUAAGGAAUCCUCCCCAAUGGACCAAAGUCCGACCGAACCACCCCCCGUGAACGAAAAAGGCUUUCGGUCCUAAACUCUGUGGCAGGGAGAAACAGUAUCGGAUAACUGCCGUACUUGACGGUACCUGACAGAAAGCCACGCUAACUACGUGCAGC
rnacentral:rRNA from 2 species